AGAGUGCGUAAUAGCUCACUAGUCGAGAGGUCCUGCGCCGAAAAUGUCCGGGGCUAAAACACGACACCGAAGCUUAGGAAUCAGAAAUGAUUGGUAGAGGAGCAUUCUUAAAUCAUCGAAGCUGUACCGAUAAGGAGCAGUGGAGGUUUAAGAAGAGAGAAUGCCGGAAUGAGUAGCGAGAAUGAAGUGAGAAUCUUCAUGGCCGAAUAUCCAAGGUUUCCAGGGUAAAGCUGAUCUGCCCUGGGUUAGUCGGGGCCUAAGGCGAGGCUGAGAAGCGUAGCUGAUGGACAACAGGUUGAAAUUCCUGUACUGCCUUAUAACAGAACUGUGGGGACACAUGUUCAGGUCGCGAGCCGGGAAAGGAAAGCCCGGCGCAAGCAGAGGUUAUCGGUGGGAGGCAAACCCCCCACAAAAGAGAAGACUGCGAUGCGGAGCGAAGAAAAGUAGCGAAGAGCGAUGAGAAUGUGUCGAGAAAAGCCGCUAUUGUUUAUAAGGUACCCGUACCGUAAACCGACACAGGUGGAUGAGGAGAGAAUCCUAAGGCCGGCGGGAGAAGCAUUGUUAAGGAACUCGGCAAAAUGACCCCGUAACUUCGGGAGAAGGGGUGCCCACGAAAGUGGGCCGCAGAGAAUAGGCUCAAGCAACUGUUUAGCAAAAACACAGGUCUAUGCGAAACCGAAAGGUGAGGUAUAUGGGCUGACGCCUGCCCGGUGCUGGAAGGUUAAGAGGAGAGGUUAACGAAAGUGAAGCUUUGAAUUUAAGCCCCAGUAAACGGCGGCCGUAACUAUAACGGUCCUAAGGUAGCGAAAUUCCUUGUCGGGUAAGUUCCGACCCGCACGAAAGGCGUAAUGAUUUGGGCACUGUCUCGACAAUGCAUCCGGUGAAAUUGAAGUACCAGUGAAGAUGCUGGUUACCUGCGCCAGGACGGAAAGACCCCAUGGAGCUUUACUCUAGCUUGAUACUGGGAUUCGGUAUUGCAUGUACAGGAUAGGUGGGAGACUAAGAGGUGAUGACGCCAGUUGUCACGGAGUCGAUGUUGGGAUACCACCCCUGCAGUACUGGGUUUCUAACCUGCGGCCGUAACCCGGCCGGGGGACAAUGUCUGGUGGGGAGUUUGACUGGGGCGGUCGCCUCCGAAAGAGUAUCGGAGGCGCUCAAAGGUUCCCUCAGAAUGGUUGGAAACCAUUCGAAGAGUG
rnacentral:rRNA from 1 species